rnacentral:rRNA from 1 species
CCCUUAGAUGUUCUGGGCUGCACGCGCGCUACACUGAAGCGUUCAACGAGUAUUCACCUUGCCCGGGAGGGUUGGGUAAUCUUUUGAAAACGCUUCGUGAUGGGGAUAGAUUAUUGCAAUUAUUAAUCUUCAACGAGGAAUUCCUAGUAAGCGCGAGUCAUCAGCUCGUGCUGAUUACGUCCCUGCCCUUUGUACACACCGCCCGUCGCUCCUACCGAUUGAAUGAUCCGAUGAAUAUCAUGGAUUGAGGAUGCAAGUAGGUUAGCCUAUCUUCAUCUUCGAGAAGUGAAGUAAAUCUUAUCAUUUAGAGGAAGGAGAAGUCGUAACA